GGCGCAGUGGCUGAGAGGUAAAGCAUUUAUCUUCUAAACAAUAGAGUUCCAGGCUCGAAUCCUGGUGACGACU
rnacentral:tRNA from 1 species